rnacentral:rRNA from 1 species
ACUCCUACGGGAGGCAGCAGUGGGGAAUAUUGCACAAUGGGGGAAACCCUGAUGCAGCCAUGCCGCGUGUGUGAAGAAGGCCUUCGGGUUGUAAAGCACUUUCAGUAGGGAGGAAGGUAGUGUAGUUAACACCUGCACUAUUUGACGUUACCUACAGAAGAAGCACCGGCUAACUCCGUGCCAGCAGCCGCGGUAAUACGGAGGGUGCGAGCGUUAAUCGGAAUUACUGGGCGUAAAGCGCAUGCAGGCGGCCUGUUAAGUCAGAUGUGAAAGCCCGGGGUCUUAACCUCGGAAUUGCAUUUGAAACUGGCAGGCUAGAGUCUUGUAGAGGGGUUAGAAUUUCGAGGUGUAGCGGUGAAAUGCGUAGAGAUCUGAAGGAAUACCGAGUGGCGAACGGCGGCCCCUAGGACAAAGACUGACGCUCAGAUGCGAAAGCGUGGGAGCAAACGAGGAUUAGAUACCCCGUGGUAGCGACUGA